rnacentral:sRNA from 1 species
GCGCCACUCGCCAGGUGGACCCGGAGUCCGCGAGCGUCGUCGGCAAGUGGCUGCCUUUACCCGGUACCCCGAGCACCAUGUCGUCCCCGGCGUCGACCCCGAGCCGCCGCGGCAGCCGGCGUGGAAGGGCCACCCCUGCCCAGACGCGUGAGUCCCCCGAGCCGGGCCCACUACAGCCCCCUGCGCCGCCCCGUCUGCCCUCUCUUGCCAGAGCUGGCAGCGCUGGGUGGGUGCGCGGACCCCGGGCGCUCAGCCUCGCGCUGCCGCCUGGUGCGCACAGACACCCACAGCAGGCUGUGGCCUGGGUGCUGCUUAAUUCGAUUGCCCAUUUGCCUCUGUUUGGUUUGGUUCAGUGCUCGAAGUGAGGAUGCCAGGUCAUCUCCCUCUCAGAGACGUAGAGGCGAGGAUUCCACCUCCACGGGGGAGUUGCAGCCGAUGCCAACCUCGCCUGGAGUGGACCUGCAGAGCCCUGCCGCGCAGGACAUGCUGUUUUCCAGCCCUCCCCAAAUGCAUUCUUCAGCUAUCCCUCUUGACUUCGAUGUUAGUUCACCACUGACAUAUGGCACUCCCAGCUCUCGGGUAGAGGGAACACCAAGAAGUGGUGUUAGGGGCACACC